CCUCCUGCCCAAGGGAAGUGGCAUUUGGUGCUGCAAAUCCUGCAAGAAGAUCCCACUCUUACAUCCCUUCUGGCAGAGGCGGGAGGACGGCCCACCCCACCACCUCUGUACCAUAAAUCAGGAAGAGGAAGCAAUAGAAAACCUCAACACUGACAAGAGCCUGGUGCUGCUCAUCGUGCACAGGAGGGCUGGCUAGGUCUGAGUCUUGCCUCCUUUCUUAAAAGAGAACAACAAACCAAAUCAAGCUUCAGCGCUCAGCAUCACUGGGAUGAAUGUGGGCACCACCGCAGAGCCACCGUCCUCCCUCUGUGGAGGUGGGUGUUGCCCCAGAUCCCCACUCUUAUCCAGGAGAACAAGAGAUGCUGCUGAUGGCUGGCAGCGGUGGAUUUGCUGCUUGCAGGCUGCAGGAGUGUGACGAGGGCUGUGUGCUCCUGUCCCAUCACAAAUGCAUGGCUCCCCACUGCACACCUCCUCUCCACAAGGAGCCCACCUGCGUUCUGGGGCUGUGACACGGCGCAUGGGAACAAGGCACACGCUGGAGCCCCCCAUACUCAGAUUCAAGCUGCGUGGGCUUCCCAGCCUUCCCUGCUCCC